rnacentral:tRNA from 1 species
UCCCCUGUAGCUCAGUUGGUAGAGCAUCCGCCUGUUAAGCGGCAGGUCCGUGGUUCGAGUCCACGCGGGGGAGCCA